rnacentral:rRNA from 1 species
AGUGAACGCUGGCGGUAGGCCUAACACAUGCAAGUCGAACGGCAGCACAGUAAGAUCUUGCUCUUACGGGUGGCGAGUGGCGGACGGGUGAGGAAUACAUCGGAAUCUACUUUUUCGUGGGGGAUAACGUAGGGAAACUUACGCUAAUACCGCAUACGACCUACGGGUGAAAGCAGGGGAUCUUCGGACCUUGCGCGAUUGAAUGAGCCGAUGUCGGAUUAGCUAGUUGGCGGGGUAAAGGCCCACCAAGGCGACGAUCCGUAGCUGGGCUGAGAGGAGGAUCAGCGACACUGGAACUGAGACACGGUCCAGACUCCUACGGGAGGCAGAAGUGGGGAAUAUUGGACAAUGGGCGCAAGCCUGAUCAAGGCAUACCGCGUGGGUGAAGAAGGCCUUCGGGUGGUAAAGCCCUUUUGUUGGGAAAGAAAAGCAGCAGGUUAAGACCCCGCUGUUCUGAGGGUACCCAAAGAAUAGACACCGGCUAACUUCGU